rnacentral:rRNA from 1 species
UAGGGAAUAUUAGUAAUGGGCGAAAGCCUGAACUAGCGACACCGCGUGUGCGAAGAAGGCCUUCGGGUUGUAAAGCACUUUUAGAGAGGAUGAGGAAGGACGGUACUCUCUGAAUAAGUCUCGGCUAACUACGUGCCAGCAGCCGCGGUAACACGUAGGAGGCAAACGUUAUCCGGAUUUACUGGGCGUAAAGCGCGUGUAGGUGGUUCUGUAAGUAGGGCGUGAAAGCUCCCGGCUCAACUGGGAGAGGUUGUUCUAAACUGCAGA